rnacentral:rRNA from 1 species
UAGGGAAUAUUAGAAAUGGACGAAAGUCUGAUCUAGCAACACCGCGUGUGCGAAGAAGGCCUUCGGGUUGUAAAGCACUUUUUGGAAGGAUUAGGAAGGACAGUACUCUUAGAAUAAGCCUCGGCUAACUACGUGCCAGCAGUCGCGGUAAAACGUAGGAGGCGAGCGUUAUCCGGAUUUACUGGGCGUAAAGCGUGUGUAGGCGGUUUGAUAAGUUGGAUGUGAAAGCUCCUGGCUUAACUGGGAGAGGUCGUUCAAAACUAUCAGACUUGAGAGUGGUAGAGGGAGGUGGAAUUCCGCAUGUAGUGGUGAAAUGCGUAGAUAUGCGGAGGAACACCAGUGGCGAAAGCGGCCUCCUGGCCCAUUUCUGACGCUCAGACACGAAAGCUAAGGUAGCAAACG